GAGAUGCAACUGCGAACCGGCCUGUUUAGUAAAGAAACAUCGUAUCGUUAAAGUAAUUUAAGGAGACAUACAGGUUGAAUGGGUAUAAAAUUGUAAACAAGGUUGAUGAGAAGACGCCUAUAAUUAAACAAGGUAUCAAGAAAGAAGUUGCGUUUCCUGAGUCACAGAAUCCUUUUUCGAUUGCUGUUGAUCGUCUGGCAAAAUUUCAGUUUUAGUUUCAUUACUGAACUGAUCAGAGGAGCUUCUGCUUCCCCUAGUAACAUUUUUCUUUAAGAUUUUGUGAGGGAAUUUAGCAAGCGAUUGAUUGAAAUCGGCAAUAUCCCGUUGCUUCUGAGCAUAUCGAAGAGCAUAAAUAAUUUGUUCUUUAUCUUGUAAUUCAUCUCUUAGAUCUGCAAUUUCGAAAUUAUGGUCAGAAAGCAAUUCCUCCAUUCGUAAACGAGCUCUACUUAUAGCAGUUCCUUGCGAACGCUCUGCCUCUAACAUGGCAAUGUAUGUAUCUCGUUCCUCUAAGUCCGAAGUCAAUUGCUUCACCAAAGAAGCAUAAUAUUCAACUUCUUGGGCAUUCUUUUCAAGGGCAGAGUGUAAAGAUGCUAAUUCAGCUUGAACAUUAGUCACAGCUUCCGCUUGGCGAAUAUCUUGAGGCAAAUUUUGAGCUCUAGAUGCAAAUUUAAGCGUGUUAGUAGUCUCCAUCGUAUGGUUGGAUUCUAUGCUUAUCGUUGCUAAAAGUGAUAUUUGUGAUUGGCCGGAUAAAGAUUGCUGCAACAGACGAGUUAACUUAGACUCACGAUACGGUAUAUGUCCUGAAUUUGAGGUAAGUGAAGGAUUUGCAGCUGCUGACAACCUAGAAAUAACAGUUCCUAAUGUUAAAAGAGAUUUGUUGAUAAAUGCUCCUUCUUUGCGUCUUUCAUGGUGAGCUGAAGCUCUUUCACUUCCAGCGAGAUCCACCAAGCUGAGACUCGAAAUUUGUGAAGUGUGAGCAGUAGGAUUAUUUCGAAUAAGAAAAACCUGAAGAAUUGCAUGCGAACGAGAACUAUACGUAUUGAAAUCGGUUGCUGCUGUUUUUCGGAUUGCAUUGCACUGUUCAAUAACCUGACUAACCUCUUCGGGGCUAGUGACGAGAACUCGAGUUAAUGGUGUAACAUUGACUUCUCCAGAUGCAUUUUCGCGUAUUCUUGGCUCUUCGUCCGAGUUUCCGAUUAAGUCUCGUAUUCUCUCAUUAUAAAUUUCUAAAUAGGAUAUACGGAUUUGAAAGGUAUCGUCAUCAGAAUUGUUUUCAACCAUUUCAAAUAAAUCAUUCAUGGCAAGUGGAAUAAUACCAGGUUCGUUUUCCGUACCUUGCAUAGAAUAUGUUUUUCCUGUGCCGGUCAUUCCAUAAGCAAACACUAUUCCAUUAUAUCCGGAAAAAACAUUACGGACAACCGACUUAACAGAACGUUUGUAUAUAUCGUAAUUUUUAGAUUCCAUCCCAAAAACAUUAUUAAAAAGAUAUUCUUGCUGAAUUGUGGACGAGCUUGUACUUGUUUGCUGGCGAAUGUAUUCACGACCAUAUGGGUCAUUGCUUAACUUGCCAUGUGACCAUACACCUUGGUUUUUACCAAUAGGUCGAAUACGUAUACUUGUGAUAAUUCCUGAACCAACAAAGUUGCUCUCUUUUAAACCUUUAGAAUUGGUUUGUUGACUUGUUGUAGAUUCAUAAUUAACAUACUCAUUUUUUAAAUAAUCCAAGUCCUUCGACGGAUACAAGGCAGGACGCGUGUAUCUAUCUAAAGUUCCAGGAGACAUCAAUUUCUCUGUAACUCCCAAAUCAAAUGCUGUAGGCCCAUUUACAUUUGUUUGAGUGCUAUUGCUUCGUAGCAUAGGUAUGGAAUAGUUCGAAAAAUUUCGGGACAAUGGUGACGUUGGGGAAUAUGGAAUACUCCCUGUUCCACUCUGAGAUGGACCAGUCCGUAUGCCAGUCAUUGUAGAAUAGCGGCGAGGUGUAACCAACCCAGUAUUCACGGGUUUUGAGGAAGAUGAACUCAUUUCAUGAAGUAGAAAAAUAACAGGUUAGAAAAUGAACGUGCUUAUAUAAAAUAAAAAGAAUAGAAAAAUUUCCAUUAAGUGGUGGUCAAAUUUACUCAGUUUUGAAAUCUUUCAACAAGCUAGUGAAAUGUAUUAGAAUUUGUCAGACAUAAACUACCUUCACCAUUCACUUCAUUCGCACAUUAAGGAAUCUCAAGACACUUCGGCAUACUUACCUCGUUACGAUGGUAGUAACCAUU